rnacentral:rRNA from 1 species
GCGUGCUUAACACAUGCAAGUCGAGGGAGAAUGGAGGGCUUCGGCCUUCUUAGUAAACCGGCGCACGGGUGAGUAACACGUAGGUCACCUACCUCCGAGUUCGGGAUAACCUGUCGAAAGAUAGGCUAAUACCGGAUAAGACCACGAUGGCUUCGGCGACUGCGGUCAAAGAUGGCCUCUAUUUAUAAACUAUCGCUUGGGGAUGGGCCUGCGCACCAUUAUCUAGUUGGUGAGGUAAUGGCUCACCAAGGCUACGAUGGUUAGUUGGUCUGAGAGGAUGACCAGCCACACUGGGACUGAGACACGGCCCAGACUCCUACGGGAGGCAGCAGUGGGGAAUAUUGCGCAAUGGGGGAAACCCUGACGCAGCGACGCCGCGUGGGUGAUGAAGGCCUUCGGGUCGUAAAGCCCUGUCGGAGGGGAAGAAGGACUCACGUGCAAAUAGUUCGUGGGUCUGACGGUACCCUUAGAGGAAGCACCGGCUAACUCCGUGCCAGCAGCCGCGGUAAUACGGAGGGUGCAAGCGUUGCUCGGAAUUACUGGGCGUAAAGGGCGUGUAGGCGGUUUCGUAUGUCUGGCGUGAAAGCCCCGGGCUCACCUCGGGAAGUGCGUCGGAAACUGCGAGACUAGAGUCCCGGAGAGGGAGGUGGAAUUCCAGGUGUAGCGGUGAAAUGCGUAGAUAUCUGGAAGAACACCGGUGGCGAAAGCGGCCUCCUGGACGGUGAUUGACGCUGAGACGCGAAAGCGUGGGGAGCAAACAGGAUUAGAUACCCUGGUAGUCCACGCCAUAAACGAUGAGCACUAGGUGUCGCGGGUAUUGACCCCUGCGGUGCCGCCGCUAACGCAUUAAGUGCU